rnacentral:tRNA from 2 species
UGGUAAGUAGUUUAAACAAAACAAAUGAUUUCGACUCAUUAAAUUAUGACACUCAUACUAACCAA